rnacentral:rRNA from 1 species
UACGGGGGGGGCAAGCGUUGUUCGGAAUUACUGGGCGUAAAGGGUUCGUAGGUGGCCUGCUAAGUCAGACGUGAAAUCCCUCAGCUUAACUGGGGAACUGCGUCCGAUACUGGAUGGCUUGGAUUUGGGAGAGGGAUGCGGAAUUCCAGGUGUAGCGGUGAAAUGCGUAGAUAUCUGGAGGAACACCGGUGGCGAAGGCGGCAUCCUGGACCAAUAUUGACGCUGAGGAGCGAAAGCCAGGGGAGCAAACGGG